ACCCAUAGGUAUAUAUGUCUAUGGCCCAACCCGCUAUAUAGCCUAGUCAUUGGAACUGCCAGUCUCAGUCGGAAAGGAGUUGGAAAAGGCGGCAGUCUAGCACGACAGUUUCUUCUUUCCUUUAUAGUUUGUAACUUACGUGAUAUUGUUAUUUACAGUGGAUACCACUGAAAUUAUCCUUUCCUUUUCAGUAAAAUGAACACGAUGACUAUAAUUAAUUUGGUCAGUGUUAAUAAUUUAUGGUAUUUGUGUUUUCUGCACAUUUUUAUCAUCAGUCAACAGCAUACAAUAUAUAUUAUAAAUAUAGCAUGAAAUAAUAAUGGAGGGGGAGGACGAGCUAGAGGAAGAAUGGCAGAGAGAGGAGGAGGAGAGUGUGCAGGUUCAAAGGGUACAAGAGGCAGAGGAUCUAGAGGAAGAGCAACAGAGUCACCUCAAGAGCUGGCUUUCAUGAAGGUAGGGAAUCUACUAACAAGGGGAAUCAGAGAGAAUCCACUGAAAUGUUAGGCAAAUAUGAUGAUGUCUUAGCCACUCACUUCCAGUCAUCUCCUGCGUUUUCCGUUUCAUGUCCCAUUCCAUUCAGAAUUAUUUAAUUUCUGCCAUUACAGCCACUGUUCUUGAUGAAAUGAAAGACGACGUUCAAACUGCUCCCUUUUUUGCACUGCACGUAGAUGAGACAACUGACAUGUCAUGUCAUGUACAACUGUCUGUGAUCAUUCAGUAUGUAGAUACUGCAGGCCAAAUUCAUGAGGGUUUGGAUCGGAUUUUUUUAAUGUCUCAGGAGGGUGAGAUGCCCAGUCUGUCUUUGCUGUUUUAAAUAAACACAUGCAGGCCAGGGCUACUGUUACAAAGAAAAAAAAAGCUGUGUGAUGUAUGUUGAGGUGAAAUGAACAUUUCGGUUGACUGUGCUUAAACAACUGCAAGUCCCACAAUGCACCACUAGCAGGUCAGUGCAGCCUGCUCAUUAUUUUAAGUGGGAACACCUGAGAAGGAAAGGAGGUCUCUCAGUAAACACUCCAGCAAACAUUUCAGCAGAGAGAGACACACACGAAAAGGAUCUACUCGUGGUGCAACCAAAGAAGCCACUGGUUUUCAACCUAAAUGAGCCAACCAGACCAAACGAACAAAGAAAAAGAAAAAUCAUUCUGAGUUGGAACGAGUUGUCCCGUACGUCUUUUGGGAUUAAUGCACCAGGCCGUUUUCAAGUUGGGCCAGAGAGUAGACAAAAACACCUGAGAACUUGACAAUGUAUGAUGGGGCUGCUGUCAUGGCUUCCUCUCUGAAUGGACUUCAGGCAAAAGUAGGAUCUGCCCAAAAUGCAAUGUUUGUGCACUGUUAUGCACACAUAUUUAACCUGGUGUUAUCCCAGUGAGCAAAAUGCUUACCUGAAUCCAGAGUUUUUUUGCUAAAAUCUCCGGGUUUGCCUCCUUUUUUGCUAAAUCCACUUAGAGGAUGGCCUUUCUUGAGUUUGGAGUAUGUUCACGGUAAGUACUGUGGCCAACAACUAUGAUGGACUCCUGCAGACUUUUGAAAGGAUUUUAGAGGAUGAGACCAUAGUAGAGGAGGACACACUCUUCUCAAAGACUGAUGUGGUAUUUGUGCAGCAGAGGGCUGUGGAUAUUCUCUAUUGCAACACUGCAAUCAGAGGAGGCUUUUAAAAGCUGUGUAUGCAAAAAUGGCAAAUUUCACAUCAGAUCCUCGAAAUGAAUUUAGGCAAAAGCGCCGGUGUCGGUCACAUUUGCAGGACGCCAAAGAGCGUCACAGAAAUCUAUAAAUGUCCAUCUUAGACUGGCUCAAAAGUAAUGGCCAUUUCUUUGAUGCAGGGAGACUGAAAUCUGAGCUCCAAGUCCUAUAUUCAGAUCAUGACCUUCAGGGCAACAAGGGAAAGCUUUGUGAUUUCUUAGUGUUUUUUUUUAAAGACAUGGAGUUGGAUAAAGCAAUGCAUCAGCUUUACAUGCUGGUGUCUUUAGCUGCAAUAAUUGGAGCUACAUCAGCAGGUGUAGGGAGGAGCUUCUCCUACUAAGAACGAGUGAGGUCAUACAGCCGCAACUCAAUGGGCUGGCCAUUGAGAGGAAGCUGGUCAAGUCUCUGGAGAAGAAUCCCAGUUGGUGUGACAGGGUAAUAGACAAUUUUCUUAAAAAAGAAAGGAGGGCAAAAUUCAUUUAAAUGCUACAUAUACCUGCUACAAUGUGUGUAUAGCCUACUCUACAUUUGAAUAAAAACGAACGCAGCACAGAUACAUUUCAAAGAAUGAGUUACAGAUUACUGAAACUGAUUCAUUAUACUAUUACACUACCUAUUGAUUUCAUAUGGUGAUGUUUUCAAAGUAUCCACCAAUAUGUUUAAAUAACAUUUCAGCGCACCCUACGACGUUUUAUGAUAGCGUCAUAACUGUGUGCCCCCCCAUUUGCAACCAAUGAUAAACUAUUUGGGCCUACCUUUGUUGAGUGGUAACAUGGUCCAUGAACUGCCAAUACUUUAAUACAGACUAGCCUACUAGUUAUAACCAUGUGAAGAAAUGCCUGUUCUGAUGUGUAUGAACAGUCAUGUGUAAGCAGUCAGGUAAUUUCGUAAAAUGAAUAAGCUCAAUAGUUUUGUUUAACAGCCCAUGGAAUGUAGUUUCUCUUGUGAAUUGGUAUGAGGAAUUGCAACACAUAUUACAAAACUCAAACUAAUUCCAGACUCACAAUAUUGGCCCCUCUAAAAACUCCUGUGGGAAUGGAAUUUUAUUUUUUAAUGACAACCUAAUACACAUCAAUAGAGUAGCCUGGAUUGUUGAUGAAAACCUCUUAGGAAAUGUGUAACAUAUUAAUUAUGGAUUCUGUAUCUCCUCUAGUCAGACCUUCAGUAAGGUCUUUGUCCUUGUUGUUGUGUUUUUCAAUUGCUGCCCCAGGGGAAUUCCGAUAUUGAGGACAUCUUUCAUGUUGAGACUGUUUAUCAAAACAAGACUGCCCCAGUUCAGCAGUCAAAAUACAGGCAUGAAUACUAAGGGUAGAAAGGUGAAAAUAACAAUAACAUAAAGUGGCCUGUCUUCAUUAGCCAUUUAAAAAAAAUUUAUGCAACCCCCUAAUCUGUUCUUAGAAUGUGGAUGUCCAUAAAUCAACAAAGAAUUUUUUUCUGUGCUUGUUGCCAAAGGUCAACACCAUAGUUAAAGAUUAAAUAAUGUAAGAAAAAGGGAUGUUUCUCGUGGUUGAUGCAGCAAUUAGCCUUUAAGCCUUUAGCCUCCAGUAAAGAGGGGAAACGAAGGACAUGGAACAUACUCCUGAUUUAGCGGUGUAGGUCUGACCCACAAGCAUCUCAAACUCUAGCCAUAUAUAAUGUUUACGUCACCUCCCAGGCUCUUCAUGUAAAUUAACCAGGCUUUGACUGCAAACUGGUCUUGCAACCCUUUGUUCUGUAUGAUAAUAACAUUUCUCUGACCUGUUGCCUGUGAUGGUUCUCAAUGGCUCAAAGGGCUCUGCGUGUCUGCGUAUCUGCUGAAACGGACGACCAUAGAUCAGGCUUUACCCCUAUUCCCAUACUACAAUUUGUGGCUGUUGCUUACACUUCAGUUGAUUUCCUUUCCAAGUGUCUGAGCAAUGCCAGGGUGCGGACCUUUCCUCUGUUACCUAGAUAAGAUUACCAUUCGGGAAAAACUAAUUUUGGUGGUCGCUGUGGCUGCUUUACCAUGAAUCUCAUGCUCUCGGGCAGGACAUACUGUAAUUUCUUCUUAUAAUACUUCACUUUUUGGAUGUAAUGUACUCAAUGAAAUCAAUUUCAAUGAAA